rnacentral:rRNA from 1 species
UACGGAGGAUCCAAGCGUUAUCCGGAAUUACUGGGCGUAAAGAGUUGCGUAGGUGGCAUUGUAAGUCGAUAGUGAAAGCGUGGGGCUCAACCCCAUAUCCAUUAUCGAAACUACAAAGCUAGAGGAUGAGAGAGGUUAUUGGAAUUCCCAGUGUAGGAGUGAAAUCCGUAGAUAUUGGGAGGAACACCGAUGGCGUAGGCAGAUAACUGGCUCAUUCCUGACACUAAGGCACGAAAGCGUGGGUAGCAAACGGG